GACGAACGCUGGCGGCGUGCUUAACACAUGCAAGUCGAGCGGUAAGGCCCUUUCGGGGGUACGACGAGCGGCGAACGGGUGAGUAACACGUGGGUGACCUGCCUUUAGUCUCUGGGAUAAGCCUGGGAAACUGGGUCUAAUACCGGAUAUGACCCUAUGGCGCAUGUUGUGGGGUGGAAAGCCUUGUGCGGCUAGGGAGU
rnacentral:rRNA from 1 species